rnacentral:misc_RNA from 1 species
UUGAAAUAAACCUGAUGGGUUGUUGCUGGUUCUCUAGGGAGCAUGUGCACUCCUUGUCAUCUUUAUAUCUCCACCUGUGCACCUAUUGUAGACCUUUUUCAAAGGUCUAUGUUGCUUCAUUUACCCCAAAUGUAUGUUAAUAGAAUGUCGUGCCUAUAAAAGUAUAUA